rnacentral:pre_miRNA from 13 species
UCCAAAAGUUGUUGGGUCUUGUUGGGCAACGUGAUCUAAUGCUAUGAACCCAACGCCAUUAGGUCUUGCUGGACAAUGCUAUUAGAUUCUGGCAAGUCAGACCCAACAAUAUUUUUUGACU